UACGUAGGGCGCAAGCGUUGUCCGGAAUUAUUGGGCGUAAAGAGCUCGUAGGCGGUUUGUCGCGUCUGGUGUGAAAUCCCGAGGCUCAACUUCGGGCUUGCAUCGGGUACGGGCAGACUAGAGUGCGGUAGGGGAGACUGGAAUUCCUGGUGUAGCGGUGGAAUGCGCAGAUAUCAGGAGGAACACCGAUGGCGAAGGCAGGUCUCUGGGCCGCAACUGACGCUGAGGAGCGAAAGCAUGGGGAGCGAACAGG
rnacentral:misc_RNA from 1 species